rnacentral:rRNA from 1 species
ACCUGAAACCGUGUACGUACAAGCAGUGGGAGCACAGAGCAAUCUGUGUGACUGCGUACCUUUUGUAUAAUGGGUCAGCGACUUAUAUUCUGUAGCAAGGUUAACCGAAUAGGGGAGCCGAAGGGAAACCGAGUCUUAACUGGGCGUUAAGUUGCAGGGUAUAGACCCGAAACCCGGUGAUCUAGCCAUGGGCAGGUUGAAGGUUGGGUAACACUAACUGGAGGACCGAACCGACUAAUGUUGAAAAAUUAGCGGAUGACUUGUGGCUGGGGGUGAAAGGCCAAUCAAACCGGGAGAUAGCUGGUUCUCCCCGAAAGCUAUUUAGGUAGCGCCUCGUGAAUUCAUCUCCGGGGGUAGAGCACUGUUUCGGCAAGGGGGUCAUCCCGACUUACCAACCCGAUGCAAACUGCGAAUACCGGAGAAUGUUAUCACGGGAGACACACGGCGGGUGCUAACGUCCGUCGUGAAGAGGGAAACAACCCAGACCGCCAGCUAAGGUCCCAAAGUCAUGGUUAAGUGGGAAACGAUGUGGGAAGGCCCAGACAGCCAGGAUGUUGGCUUAGAAGCAGCCAUCAUUUAAAGAAAGCGUAAUAGCUCACUGGUCGAGUCGGCCUGCGCGGAAGAUGUAACGGGGCUAAACCAUGCACCGAAGCUGCGGCAGCGACACUGUGUGUUGUUGGGUAGGGGAGCGUUCUGUAAGCCUGUGAAGGUGUGCUGUGAGGCAUGCUGGAGGUAUCAGAAGUGCGAAUGCUGACAUAAGUAACGAUAAAGCGGGUGAAAAGCCCGCUCGCCGGAAGACCAAGGGUUCCUGUCCAACGUUAAUCGGGGCAGGGUGAGUCGACCCCUAAGGCGAGGCCGAAAGGCGUAGUCGAUGGGAAACAGGUUAAUAUUCCUGUACUUGGUGUUACUGCGAAGGGGGGACGGAGAAGGCUAUGUUGGCCGGGCGACGGUUGUCCCGGUUUAAGCGUGUAGGCUGGUUUUCCAGGCAAAUCCGGAAAAUCAAGGCUGAGGCGUGAUGACGAGGCACUACGGUGCUGAAGCAACAAAUGCCCUGCUUCCAGGAAAAGCCUCUAAGCAUCAGGUAACAUCAAAUCGUACCCCAAACCGACACAGGUGGUCAGGUAGAGAAUACCAAGGCGCUUGAGAGAACUCGGGUGAAGGAACUAGGCAAAAUGGUGCCGUAACUUCGGGAGAAGGCACGCUGAUAUGUAGGUGAAGUCCCUCGCGGAUGGAGCUGAAAUCAGUCGAAGAUACCAGCUGGCUGCAACUGUUUAUUAAAAACACAGCACUGUGCAAACACGAAAGUGGACGUAUACGGUGUGACGCCUGCCCGGUGCCGGAAGGUUAAUUGAUGGGGUCAGCGCAAGCGAAGCUCUUGAUCGAAGCCCCGGUAAACGGCGGCCGUAACUAUAACGGUCCUAAGGUAGCGAAAUUCCUUGUCGGGUAAGUUCCGACCUGCACGAAUGGCGUAAUGAUGGCCAGGCUGUCUCCACCCGAGACUCAGUGAAAUUGAACUCGC